rnacentral:misc_RNA from 1 species
CGGCUGCUGGUUUAGCACUCACAGCGAGGCUGGUAGCAGACACGAAAACUCAUUGCUGCCAUGUUAUCGCACGGAUAUGCUGGAACCACAAUUUGGUGACAGUUUGCAGAUGAAGUAAAGGCAACAGUAGCAGACAAUUUCCUGGUCUUCCAACCUAUUUUUUCAGCAAGAUGAAGUCAGCUCUGAUAUUGCUUUUAAGUUUUCUCUUGGGUUCGGCAUCAGCCGUGCGAACAAUCACCAUCGGCGCUGCGUUGAGUUCUGAAAGGAACCAGGAAGUGUUUAAAAAUGCAGUGGACCAUUUAAAUGAUUUGCGGCUUGGAGGUGAUGUCUAUUUCAAUUCCACGUCUAUAGCAAUGGAUGUUAAUCCUAUUCGGUCAGCUCUGGAUGUGUGUGACCGUUUGUUACCUCAGACAGUAUACACUGUGAUUGCCAGUCAUCCAAACGCCAGUGACCAGUCACCAAUAUCGGUGUCCUACACCUGUGGCUUCUACAACAUACCUGUGAUUGGAAUUGCAGCAAGGGACAGCGCUUUCUCAGACACGAAUGUCCACGGGACAUUCCUGCGCACCGUGCCCCCCUACUCUGCCCAGGCUGAUGUGUGGAUUGCCUUGCUGCAGUACUUUGAGUGGUCACAGGUCAUCUUCAUCCACAGCUCAGACGAAGAAGGGCGGGCCAUUCUCAGCCAGUUCCAGACACUAGCCGAACCUCUUAAAAUCAAGCUUGAGAUGACUGUCAAGUAUAUCCCCGGCCAGACUAAUUACACCAACGACUUGUUUAGGACUGUGCAGGCCCAGUCCAGAGUGGUGCUUCUGUCUGCAUCGACUGAUGAUGCAGAGGUGAUAUUCCAAGAUGCCGAGAACCUGGGACUGACUGGGGAGGACUAUGCCUGGUUCGCCACAGAGCUAGCCUUCAAAGCCUACAAUGCCCCUGUUGGCCUGCUUGGCGUGUAUCUUAACAAUGGAACCGAUGAAGAGGCCCACAUCAAGGAUAGCGUCACUGUUGUUGGACUUGCAUUCUCAGAAAUACUCCGAACAGGAAAUAUCACAGCGCCACCUACUGCUUGCAAAGACAUGAGGACUUGGGGGGAUGGAACUACCAUCAUGAGGAAACUGCGAGACACAAAGCUGACCCACGGUCAGACAGGUUUGGUGACCUUUGAUGAGCAUGGUGACAGACAGAACCCUUCGUACGAGAUACGUAACAUCAACCAGGAUGGCAAAGCAUUUGCUGUGGGACUGUACGGAGAUAUUAAGCCAAUCGAGGAGCCCCUGAGGAUGAUGCAUGAGAUCACAUGGCCAGGAGCGGUCAAGGUCAGACCAAAGGGUCAGAAGAUAUCUCGUAAUUUGACGAUUGUAACAAUCCCCGAGAUGCCGUUUGUUGAGGUGGAGGACCCCCUGCCAAAUGGCGUCUGCCCAUCGUAUGAUGACAAGCAAGUCUUCCCCUGCACACAACAGAAUAAAACCACUGGGGAGAACGAGCUCCAGUGCUGCACAGGCUACUGUAUGGACAUGCUGCAGGAGAUUGCCAAGCAGGUCAACUUCACCUUUACCAUACACCUCAGUCACGAUGGACUCUACGGAUCAUUUGAAAGGCACAAUGGUUCGAAGGUGAAGCGAUGGAACGGGAUGGUGGGAGAGUUGUUGGACAACGAGGCAGACAUGAUUGUUGCUCCACUAACCAUCAACCCAGAGAGGGCCAAGUUCAUAGACUUCACAAAACCCUUCAAGUACCAGGGCCUAACUAUACUGGUCAAAAAGACCCAGAAGGACUCGAGCCUGGCCUCCUUCCUCCAGCCCUUCCAAGACACUCUGUGGAUCCUGGUCGGUCUGUCUGUCCAUGUGGUGGCGCUGGUCUUGUAUCUGCUGGACAGGUUCAGUCCGUUCGGCCGCUUCAAGCUGGCCAAGAGUGAUGACACGGAGGAGGACGCCCUAAAUCUGUCCAGCGCCAUGUGGUUUGCCUGGGGAGUGCUGCUUAACUCUGGUAUUGGGGAAGGUACACCCCGAAGUUUCAGUGCCCGUGUGCUGGGCAUGGUGUGGGCAGGUUUUGCUAUGAUCAUCGUGGCCUCAUACACUGCCAACCUGGCUGCCUUCCUGGUGUUGGACAGACCAGAAGCCUCCAUCUCCGGCAUCGACGACCCCAGGUUGAGAAAUCCCAAUGAGAAUUUCCGGUAUGCGACCGUGAAGGGCAGUGCUGUGGAGAUGUAUUUCAAGCGUCAGGUAGAGCUGUCCACGAUGUACCGCACCAUGGAGAACAUCAACUAUGCCACUGCCAAAGAGGCCAUUGAUGAUGUCAGAGAUGGAGACCUCCAGGCCUUCAUCUGGGACUCACCACGCCUGGAGUAUGAGGCAGCCCGAGACUGCGACCUCGUCACAGCAGGGGAACUGUUUGGACGUUCCGGUCUUGGCAUUGGGCUCCGCAAAAAUAGUCCAUGGACACAUGAAGUCUCACUUGCUAUCCUUACUUUGCAUGAACGUGGUUUUAUGGAGGAGCUGGACAAUGAGUGGAUCCUGGCGGAGAGUACUUCAGCCUGUCCCCAGAGAGACUCUGCCCCAGCCACCCUCGGACUCACCAACAUGGCCGGUGUGUUCAUGAUGGUAGCUGGUGGCAUUGUUGCGGGUGUGCUGUUAAUAUUUGUGGAGAUUGCAUACAAGCGACACCGUGGGUUGAAGGACAAGGAGCUGGAGCUGGCCCGUAAUGCAGCCGACAGGUGGCGUGGCAACAUAGAGAAAAAAAAAAGAAAUUGCGGGAGACUUGGGCGUAUCUUCAUGAGCUGACGGAGCCUGGCAAAAAUGACAACGGCGUUGUUUACUUGUGAUCUUCACUGCUUAAACGUAGAACUCUUCGUCAGACACUUCAGAAGCAACGUGAGGAGCAGAUGCGUGCAAACUCGCUCAUGAAACAGCAGACGUCUAUGGAUAGUAAUAGUACUCCAGUCUUCCGCCGUCAGUCAUUUGCCGAGGCC